AACAAGUCGUUUUCUUGUUCCCAUUCUGCAAGACAACUUCCCCUUCAUCCAGAAGUCCUCCAGAGCUCUGGAGUGUUAUGUCCACAACCUCCUGAAGGUGACCACGUACAUCCCGUCUAUUCGCAGAGAUGUGCUGGAGCUGAUCGUAGGAAAGCUGCUCAAACUGGAUGUGAGUGCAUCCCGUUCAGAUAUUAUGGAGGCAGAGGAGAACGCAGCUCAGGACCAGGGUGCCGAGCAGCAUCUGGAAGAGGGACUUUUUGACAUGGAUGAGGACAUGUCAGCAGAUCAGCCGACCAGGACGAGUGUGAUGAGCCAUCCUGUGGCCGACCGGCUGGACACACUCAUGGCUGUGCUCAUGGCUUACAUCAGAGACGUCUGCCACGUGAACGGUACGA